rnacentral:rRNA from 1 species
CCUACGGGGGGCAGCAGUAGGGAAUCUUUCACAAUGGGCGAAAGCCUGAUGGAGCACCGCCGCGUGCAGGAUGAAGGCCUUCGGGUUGUAAACUGCUGUUAUAAGCGAGAAAUAUGAUGGUAACUUAUGAAUAAGGAUCGGCUAACCACGUGCCAGCAGCCGCGGUCAUACGUAGGAUCCGAGCAUUAUCCGGAGUGACUGGGUGUAAAGAGUUGCGUAGGUGGCAUAAUAAGUAGCUAGUGAAAUCUGGUGGCUCAACCAUUCAGACUAUUAGCUAAACUGUUAAGCUCGAGACCGUUAGGGGUAACUGGAAUUUCUAGUGUAGGAGUGAAAUCCGUAGAUAUUAGAAGGAACACCAAUAGCGUAGGCAGGUUGCUGGGACGGUUCUGACACUAAGGCACGAAAGCGUAGGGAGCAAACGGGAUUAGAUACCCGUGUAGUC